rnacentral:tRNA from 1 species
GGCCCGUUCGUCUAAUCGGGAGGAUGCGAGAAUCUCACUCUCGGGAUAUGAGUUCGAAUCCCAUACGGGUCA